UAUAGUCAUAUUGGAGAUAGUGUC
rnacentral:siRNA from 1 species